UGGGGAAUCUUGCGCAAUGGCCGAAAGGCUGACGCAGCGACGCCGCGUGUGGGAUGAAGGUCUUCGGAUUGUAAACCACUGUCGGGAGGGACGAAGCUCUGACGGUACCUCCAAAGGAAGCACCGGCUAACUCUGUGCCAGCAGCCGCGGUAAUACAGAGGGUGCGAGCGUUGUCCGGAAUCACUGGGCGUAAAGGGAGCGUAGGCGGCCUGGUAAGUCGGGGGUGAAACGCUGCGGCUCAACCGCAGCACUGCCUUCGAGACUGCCGGGCUUGAGCACGGUAGAGGCUGGUGGAAUUCCCGGUGUAGCGGUGGAAUUCGUAGAGAUCGGGAAGAACAACGGUGGCGGAGGCGGCCAGCUGGGCCGUUGCUGACGCUGAGGCGCGACAGCGUGGGGAGCAAACAGG
rnacentral:rRNA from 1 species